rnacentral:rRNA from 1 species
GACGAACGCUGGCGGCGUGCCUAAUACAUGCAAGUCGAGCGGAAGUUGGAGAGCUUGCUCUUCAACUUUAGCGGCGGACGGGUGAGUAACACGUGGGCAACCUGCCCUGCAGAUCGGGAUAACUCCGGGAAACCGGUGCUAAUACCGAAUAGUUUUCGCCACCUCCUGGUGGCGUACGGAAAGACGGUUUCGGCUGUCACUGCAGGAUGGGCCCGCGGUGCAUUAGCUAGUUGGUGGGGUAACGGCCCACCAAGGCGACGAUGCGUAGCCGACCUGAGAGGGUGAUCGGCCACACUGGGACUGAGACACGGCCCAGACUCCUACGGGAGGCAGCAGUAGGGAAUCUUCCGCAAUGGACGAAAGUCUGACGGAGCAACGCCGCGUGAGUGACGAAGGUUUUCGGAUCGUAAAACUCUGUUGUGAGGGAAGAACAAGUACCAACUAACUACUGGUACCUUGACGGUACCUCACCAGAAAGCCACGGCUAACUACGUGCCAGCAGCCGCAGUAAUAC